AUUGAACGCUGGCGGCAGGCCUAACACAUGCAAGUCGAACGGUAACAGGAAGAAGCUUGCUUCUUUGCUGACGAGUGGCGGACGGGUGAGUAAUGUCUGGGAAACUGCCUGAUGGAGGGGGAUAACUACUGGAAACGGUAGCUAAUACCGCAUAAUGUCGCAAGACCAAAGAGGGGGACCUUCGGGCCUCUUGCCAUCGGAUGUGCCCAGAUGGGAUUAGCUAGUAGGUGGGGUAACGGCUCACCUAGGCGACGAUCCCUAGCUGGUCUGAGAGGAUGACCAGCCACACUGGAACUGAGACACGGUCCAGACUCCUACGGGAGGCAGCAGUGGGGAAUAUUGCACAAUGGGCGCAAGCCUGAUGCAGCUAUGCCGCGUGUAUGAAGAAGGCCUUCGGGUUGUAAAGUACUUUCAGCGGGGAGGAAGGGAGUAAAGUUAAUACCUUUGCUCAUUGACGUUACCCGCAGAAGAGGCACCGGCUAACUCCGUG
rnacentral:rRNA from 1 species